GACGAAGGUGGCGAGCGUUGUUCGGAAUCACUGGGCGUAAAGGGAGCGUAGGCGGCGUGGUAAGUCAGAUGUGAAAUCCCGGGGCUCAACCCCGGAACUGCAUCCGAUACUGCCAUGCUAGAGGAUUGGAGAGGUAGCUGGAAUUCUUGGUGUAGCAGUGAAAUGCGUAGAGAUCAAGAGGAACACUCGUGGCGAAAGCGGGCUACUGGACAAUUCCUGACGCUGAGGCUCGAAGGCUAGGGUAGCGAAAGGG
rnacentral:rRNA from 1 species